AUGCAAGUCGAGGGGCAGCAUAAGGGUAGCAAUACUCUGGUGGCGACCGGCGCACGGGUGAGUAACACGUAUGCAACCUACCUUCAACAGGGGAAUAACCCGGAGAAAUUCGGACUAAUACCCCAUAAUACAGGGCUCCCGCAUGGGAAUAUUUGUUAAAGAUUAAUCGGUUGAAGAUGGGCAUGCGUUCCAUUAGGUAGUUGGUGAGGUAACGGCUCACCAAGCCGGCGAUGGAUAGGGGAACUGAGAGGUUUAUCCCCCACACUGGAACUGAGACACGGUCCAGACUCCUACGGGAGGCAGCAGUGAGGAAUAUUGGUCAAUGGAGGCAACUCUGAACCAGCCAAGUCGCGUGAAGGAUGACGGCCCUACGGGUUGUAAACUUCUUUUGUAAGGGAAUAAAGUGUAGUACGUGUACUAUUUUGCAUGUACCUUACGAAUAAGGAUCGGCUAACUCCGUGCCAGCAGCCGCGGUAAUACGGAGGAUCCGAGCGUUAUCCGGAUUUAUUGGGUUUAAAGGGUGCGCAGGCGGGAUGUUAAGUCGGCGGUGAAAUUUUGCGGCUCAACCGUAAAAGUGCCUUCGAAACUGGCAUUCUUGAGUAUAGAUGAAGUAGGCGGAAUUUGUGGUGUAGCGGUGAAAUGCAUAGAUAUCACGAGGAACUCCGAUUGCGCAGGCAGCUUACUAAACUAUAACUGACGCUCAUGCACGAAGGCGUGG
rnacentral:rRNA from 1 species